GCUAGUUAGUUCAUCUUCGUUUGACUUAGUUCGAUUAGCUAACUAGUUUUUUUUUUUUCCUAUAGAUUAAAUUUAGCCUGUAAAAAAUAUUCUGAAUCACACAGACUGGAAUACAGGCCAACGUUUUUUAUUACCUGGAUGUACUUUAGCAUAGUGAAAAGCUUAACUUAGCCUUUGGACUGAUUUAACGUUACACACUAAAUAACUAGCUAACUAACUUAUUUAACCUAGCCAGCUAAGGUUAACGAUACUAGUAUAAAAGGUUUUUACCAGCUUACCCAAGUUAUAUAGACUGUAUUCUACAGAUCAACCUAGGUAGCUACAGGUUAUAGGGUCUUUUUUUGGGUAAUCUUAGUUUAUGUUUAUGCUUCAAGUCCACCUCAACUCCAGUUUGUUUUUACAACUUUGGAGCUGGAUUGCUGUAGUGCCAGUUGGUCAGGUUACAGUGGCUCCUGGCCCAGACUCUCAUAGAGAUCAUGCUGUAGCAGGUGUUGCUGCUCCGUGCACUUCUCCCUCGCGGCCUGCUGAUGGAGAACAUCUGGAGAGCCUCUGUUCUACCCCUUCUUUCCUGUCCCCGAUAUGACCAGGCGAUGUAGCGAGCAGUGAGAUACAUGUCGACACAUGGUUACCAGGUCCCUUCACAGAGUACAGAGUGCCUCCACAUCCAGACCUGCCCUUACUGCUCCACUGACACUGAGGCUGCAUGAAGAAUUGAUGUGUAUGAGAAGGGCUCACCCUAAAAGAUCACAUUCCAUCUCUUUUCAAGCAGAUGACCAUGCCUUCCGUCUGCACUCCCUCCUCUCCGUUCCUCUUCUCUGUUUUUUUUCCCCGUACUUACAGACAGAGGGAGCAGCUCAACUUGACAUUGACUGCUGUGUUGUUGUAAUGCCUCUCAAAUCUUAUUAAAGACCACAACUGCAAAGGAC